CAUCCCAGUUCGGAUCGCAGGCUGCAACCCGCCUGCGUGAAGUUGGAAUCGCUAGUAAUCGCGGAUCAGCAUGCCGCGGUGAAUACGUUCCCGGGCCUUGUACACACCGCCCGUCACACCAUGAGAGUCGGGAACACCCGAAGUCCGUAGUCUAACCGCAAGGGGACGCGGCCGAAGGUGGGUUCGAUAAUUGGGGUGAAGUCGUAACAAGGUAGC
rnacentral:rRNA from 1 species